UAAAGGGCAUGGAGAGGAAGCCCUCCCCAUCCCACAACAGACUGAGAGACCACAAUGUGGAACCAGCCCUGUGCCCAGCAACAUUCCCAGGGCAGCAGAAGGAGCCUGGUGAGGAAGCAAGAGAAAAAUGAGGCGUCUCAUGAGGCACUGGCAUGGAAACUUCUAGAACCACAAAUCAAACAUCAAACCAGGACAACAGGAAUUUUACCACCUGUGGGGCAGGUUGGCAGCCAGUUGGUUAGCCCCCCUUAAGUGGCUCUACCUCCACAUGUAAAAAAAAUCUGGAGAACAGUCACAGAAUACUGGUGGUGCACGAACGAGCAGAAGAUGGGAUCAAAUCAGAGAACACAGAAGGUCUGUGGAAAGUACCAGAGUGGGAGCCUCGAUUUAUGAUUUUCAUGCAAGAUGCACAUAGCCCUCACAUGUAUGGAACACAUCACUGCAAUCUUUGAGAUACCCCAAGUGACACCUACCAUAAGGCUCUAGUUUCAGUCUUAAAUGAAACUGAUGACUAAUGACUAUUACUUUAAAUAGAACAUAAUAUGCUUGAAGAAAAUAUAAGAUUAACACCCGUGCUAACACAUUGGGCGGUAUUAGAUUUUCCCAAUGCUAACACAUUUGGCAGUAUUUUUCUACUUUGGUAAAGAAUUUGAGUUGCUUAUAAAUUUAUGCUGAGUCCCGUGGGAUGCUUUCAGACACUGAAGCAAGCAGCCCCACUCUUUCAGAGAGUUGUGUAUAUAAUACCUACUGUUCCUAUAUUUCCAUUAAAAUGCAAUUAUCCUUCUUGGGAAAAAAUAAAGGUC